rnacentral:rRNA from 1 species
GGCUACGGCCAUGCCACCCUGAACAAGCCCGAUCCCAUCUGAUCUCUGAAGCUAAGCAGGGUCGGGCCUGGUUAGUACUUAGAUGGGAGACCACCUAGGAAGACCAGGUGCUGUAGGGA